UAUUGAUUUUUCUUCAUCAAAAAUAUACAUCAAAUCAGAAGAAAAAAAAGAUUCUCUUUAUUUUUUCUCUUUCAUCUGCAGUGGUGGUGGUGCUAGAGGUUAAAAAAAAAUAAAAAAUUGACACAGAUUUGAUUUAUAUAUAGAUCCAUGUUGUGAAGAUUAUUAAGAAAGUAUGCAACAAGAAGAAGGAGGAUUAGGGCUAAUGGGUUCAAGUAAUACGAGUGGUUUAGGUGGCGGUGAUAUUUCAUCUAUGAUGAUUUCUUCUGAGGAUCAUCAUAAUCGAAAUUUGAAUCAUUACAAUCAAUUGAAAAGUGAAAUUGCUACACAUCCUUUGUAUGAACAGCUACUUUCAGCACAUGUAGCGUGUCUUCGAGUAGCUACGCCGAUCGAUCAGUUGCCAUUAAUUGAUGCUCAGCUCACGCAAUCUCAUAAUUUAUUGAGAUCUUAUGCUUCUUCUCAGCAGCAGCAACAACAACACUCGCUUUCUCAUCAUGAAAGACAAGAGCUCGAUAAUUUUUUGGCACAGUAUUUGUUAGUUUUGUGUUCGUUUAAAGAGCAGCUUCAGCAGCAUGUCAGAGUCCAUGCUGUUGAAGCUGUUAUGGCCUGCCGUGAAAUUGAGCAGAAUUUACAGCUUCUUACAGGAGCAACCCUUGGAGAGGGAACAGGUGCUACAAUGUCUGAUGAUGAAGAUGAAUUACAAAUGGAUUUUUCAUUAGAUGUAUCUGGAGGUGAUGCACAUGACUUAAUGGGAAUGGGAUUUGGUCUUCCUACUGAAUCUGAAAGGUCUUUAAUGGAGAGGGUCAGACAAGAACUCAAAAUUGAGCUCAAACAGGGAUUUAGAUCAAGAAUUGAAGAUGUGAGGGAGGAGAUAUUGAGAAAGAGAAGGGCAGGGAAGUUGCCUGGUGACACCACUACUGUUCUAAAGAAUUGGUGGCAACAACACUCAAAAUGGCCUUAUCCAACUGAGGAUGAUAAGGCAAAACUAGUGGAAGAAACAGGAUUACAGCUGAAGCAAA
rnacentral:misc_RNA from 1 species